AAAGCCCAGGAAGGAGUUAUCAGGAGUAUGAGCUGGACAUGACAGAUCACAGAGCAGUUAGUUCCUUUUGGACAGGAAUUACUGACAACACAGGCCAGCAAUAUUAAAGGAGUGAGGUUUCUGGUGCCAUGGCAGCGCAGAGUGGUUUCUUCCAAGACGAGGGGGACAAAAGUCCUCUAUUUGGCUAAGCCUCUGCACCUGAGUACUCAAAGCCUCCAAGCGAAGAGCCAGCCUGUGAAAGCCGAGCCCACGCUGACCUGUGACAUAAGGAAUAUACGACGUGGCAGGUCAUGUGACCUCCCAGCAGGUUCAUCCCUGGUCAUCUCAAGUGGCACCCAGAGGCUCUGCAGCAGCAGGGUGAACACAGAGAGGCACAGACAGAGCACCAGGCAACCACUAGAGGGCACAAUACACCAAGACACCUCUUGAAAUGCUACAGCAAACAGCAUACAGUUAC